rnacentral:lncRNA from 1 species
AUGGAGUGAAACAGAAAGCCUACAAUGUGCAAAUACAGAAUUAAAGAGAUAUAGGUUUAAUGAAGCUGACAAAAUUGAAAAUAAGUGUUGUUAAAAAAAGGGGGUGUUCAUAAUGUUAUGUUUGAACAGUGUUAUUUAAUGUAAGAUGACAUAGAGUAUGUCUCACAUUUCUCCUCUUGGGCUCAAGACUAAUGAUUUCAUUGUGUUUUCAUUGUGAGCAUUUCUAUUGUUAGAUUUCCUGAACACUUUUUGAAUUUACCGUGGUUAUGCACACUCAGCACUUAGGAACAAGUUUCUCUCAUUUACCUCAGACUAACCAAACAUUGUUGUCAUAUGUUCUAAUACCAGUUUGCACAUUUAUGACUUCUAAAAUGCAUGCCCACACCUGUUUUUCUUUCUCUUGUGACAGGAAAAACAAUGAUAUGCAAAGGUGUGACCAGGCGCACCAGAGAGACAGAUACAUCCUUGCACCAGUAAAGAUCUCCAGAACCAGGCCUUAAUGUUCUAGGACAGCACAGCCUUGAAUGGACAGUUCUACGAAGUGGUGAACACGGUCAGGCUCUGCAAAAAAAAAAAGAAGAAAUGCAUUCCUCUUGCUAACAUCACAGCAAGCCAGUCAGGACAGCUCCUCACUGAGAUCAUUGCAAAAAGUUAAACUGAUGAUACAUAAACGAAUCAUAUUUCUGGCAAGGCUUUGGAAAUUCACCUCUGAAUCAAGUAAAAGAACCGAUGUUAUGAGUUCAUGAUGACAAUGCUCAUAGUAAAGUGAGUCAUUUCACAGGAGUGAUCAAAGAGUGGGAGAGAUUCUACCACCCAUGUAAAUCGUUUUUUGGAUAUUACCGUUUCACUGGCAGCUCAGAUCAUAAGUAAAAGGGCAGAGAGUGGGUUUUUCACUGUGUGGGUUGGAGUGAGAGUUAUUCAGAAUUGUUUCACAGAUUGCACAAUGUUCAGUGCUUUCUGAUGAAGAGUAAAUGAUUAUCAUGUUACCUUGACAUGGGUUGCUGUCAUAGGGUAUGCUGGCUGUGCAGUAACACAGUGGCUGGGGUUUUUGGAGACAGGUGGACAGGUACACAUUUUGCGUCAUGUGCAUGCAUGGUGGUUGGUGUGGGGCAGUGGAUAACACCACUACCUGCUAGUGAGCUACCACACCAUGUGGGAGACUAGGUUUCAAUUCCCGGUCUGGGUAUUUAUGCUGUGCUACACCAAUAAGAGUCCUUGGGGCAGAUUCUUAAUGUUACAUUGACGCACCUCUGUAAUAGAAAUAACCUUGUAAGUCACUCUGGAUAAGAGCAUCAGCUAAAUACCGUAAAUGUAAAAUGUAAAAACAUGCCUGGACAAAUCUGGAUGUAAUUGUAAAUCUAUAAUUCAAUACAAAUUCCUGUGGAACUGUGGAGAGAAAAUAAGUAUUUGGCUAUGGUACGCUAUAUUUAGAAGCAUUAUCAAAAAUGUGCAACUUUCUUGUCACGUUUUUCUCAUGCCUGUCACCCUGCUGAAGACAGAGGGAUGGGCAUAUUUCUUCCUUUUGUGGCAGCCAUCUUGUGAAAGAGGAACUGCCCCCUUGUUGUUGUGCCUGUCAUGGAGUGUGCCUCCGAAGCACCACAUGAAACGCAAGAACACCCAGUCCUUGUGGUGAAAGAAUAUGUAAAGUAAUACAGCCAGAUGGCCCUCUGAAUGCAGUUCAGCCUUGUUCUCACUGAGCACCAGGAACUUUCCAGAGAAGCCUUUUGUGAGCAGCACUGAAAGACUAGACACUUUCCCACAGGAGAGGAAGCACGUUGCUGGUGUUAAAAGGUGCACUCCUGUCAUUGUUCUACUCUUAUUAUUGUGUCACCCUCAAAAAGGUUUAAUUUUAGAGUUGGGCUCAAUGACCCCAGAGUCUUGCUGCUUUCACUAAUUAACAAAAUAGGCUACAGACAAGAUAAUGAAAGUUGGAUAAUUGCAAUGAUGUCUAUAUUACCCAGCGCCUAUAUGCUGCAUCAUCACUGUUUUUUAUAAAAUGCUAUUGGGCCUUCACUGUCCCUGUGUUGCCAAAACUUGGAAAUCAGAUAUGUUUAAUGUUAGUGUUUAUAUCUUUUCCAACUUCAUCAAUUCUUCAAUUGCAUCUGGUGGCGCUACAAUGACAAACAGCUCUUUGUCAUCUAACAGAUAUCAUCUGAAACAAUGUUGACUUCUUUCUUCUUAAAAUACUUUUACUUAUCUCAGCUGGAGUUCAGCUCACAACAACAACUUAACAUUUUGUUAUGCACAAGACAUUUCACCAGAGCCCAUGAAUCUCUCACUCCUGAGCUCAGUGACAGUAUUUAGGCUUUUGCACAAAUAUAUGAACAUGCAUUGUGCAAUUACUAAAGCACUUCAGAUUUGUGAAUACUGUGCAGUUUUUUGACCAUGCAUCUGCUGUUGAAGUUAUAUGGUUAAUUAAUUCCUUAAAAUAUGUUAUUGCAAUACCAUGAUUAACUUUAUACUAUUCACCAUUAUUAGACAAAAACACAGUGUCCCAAUUGUGUACUCAUUACUAAUGCUAACUGGUUUUGGUAUUAUGUUUGCUAAGUGUGGUUUGGAUGGACACUAUGAUCCAACAAUGUAAUGCCAACAUGCAAGGGGAGAGCUAUAAGCUACUAGUAGUGUCAACAUCUACAGGAGAAUUUAUGUGACGCAGUGACUUAUGUUGGCACAGCAAUGCUUAACCACUUCCCGUUAGAACAAAACAGGUUAGCACAUCAAUAUUUUGUGUGUAUAUGUAUGUAUAAGUUCUAUAAGAGAAAAAAAUAACAUUGUUGUUUCAUUCUAUAAACUACAGACACCAUUUAUUACAAAAUCCAAAUGAUAAUAUUGUCAUUCAGAGCAUUUAUUGCAGAAAAUGAGAAAUGGCUGAAAUGACAAAAAAAGAUGCAAAGAUUUCAGACCACAAAUAAUACAAAUAAAACAAGUUAAUAUUCAUAAAGUUUUAAGAGU